rnacentral:rRNA from 1 species
GUCUACGGCCGUGGCACCCUGAACAAACCCAAUCUCAUCUGAUCUCAGAAGCUAAGCAGGGUCGGUGCUGGUUAGUACUUGGAUGGGAGACCACUUGAAAAUACCGGAUGACAUAGGCU